GUCCCUAUAGCUCAGUUGGUAGAGCAUGGUGUUUGCAACGCCAGGGUUGUGGGUUCGAUUCCCACGGGGGGCC
rnacentral:tRNA from 1 species